GACGAACGCUGGCGGCGUGCUUAACACAUGCAAGUCGAACGGAGAAUUUAUUUCGGUAGAUUCUUAGUGGCGAACGGGUGAGUAACGCGUGGGCAAUCUGCCCUUCAGAUGGGGACAACAUCCCGAAAGGGGUGCUAAUACCGAAUACGAUCGUUUUCCCGCAUGGGAUUGCGAUGAAAGAUGGCCUCUAUUUAUAAGCUAUCGCUGAAGGAUGAGCCUGCGUCUGAUUAGCUAGUUGGUGGGUAACGGCCUACCAAGGCGAUGAUCAGUAG
rnacentral:rRNA from 1 species